rnacentral:rRNA from 1 species
AGAGUUUGAUCCUGGCUCAGAAUCAACGCUGGCGGCGUGCCUCAGACAUGCAAGUCGAACGCGAAAGUUCCCUUCGGGGAGCAAGUAGAGUGGCGCACGGGUGAGUAACACGUAGGUAAUCUACCUUUGGAUUGGGAAUAACAACCGGAAACGGUUGCUAAUACCGAAUAAUGCAGCGGCACCUAAUGGUGACAGUUGUUAAAGCGGGGGAUCGCAAGACCUCGCGUCUAAAGAGGAGCCUGCGGCGGAUUAGCUAGUUGGUAAGGUAAUGGCUUACCAAGGCUAUGAUCCGUAGCCGGCCUGAGAGGGCGGUCGGCCACACUGACACUGACAUACGGGUCAGACUCCUACGGGAGGCAGCAGUCGGGAAUUUUGGGCAAUGGGCGAAAGCCUGACCCAGCAACGCCGCGUGAAGGAUGUAAUCCUUCGGGAUGUAAACUUCGCAAGAACGGGAAGAAUAAGUAAGAGCUAACAUCUCUUAUGAUGACGGUACUUUGAAGUCCG